GACGAACGCUGGCGGCGUGCUUAACACAUGCAAGUCGAACGGAAAGGCCCUGCUUUUGUGGGGUGCUCGAGUGGCGAACGGGUGAGUAACACGUGAGUAACCUGCCCUUGACUUUGGGAUAACUUCAGGAAACUGGGGCUAAUACCGGAUAGGAGCUCCUGCUGCAUGGUGGGGGUUGGAAAGUUUCGGCGGUUGGGGAUGGACUAGCGGCUUAUCAGCUUGUUGGUGGGGUAGUGGCUUACCAAGGCUUUGAAGGGUAGCCGGCCUGAGAGGGUGACCGGCCACAUUGGGACUGAGAUACGGCCCAGACUGCUACGGUAGGCAGCAGUGGGGAAUAUUGCACAAUGGGCGGAAGCCUGAUGCAGCAACGCCGCGUGCGGGAUGACGGCCUUCGGGUUGUAAACCGCUUUCGCCUGUGACGAAGCGUGAGUGACGGUAAUGGGUAAAGAAGCACCGGCUAACUACGUG
rnacentral:rRNA from 1 species